AAAUUGAUACAACAACCAGUUCCUCCUCCUCCUGUCCCACAGUCGCCUCACACUUCCAUCCGGCUUCUGCCAAAGCAGUAACCAAAAACUGAUGUGAGAAGCUCGAAGCAUUCCGGGGAUUUUUUUCUCCUUUAACACCUAUGCCAUAUCUACCCUUAGUCCCAGAGCAUGUGUAAGCACCACUGUGGGAUACUGGUAGGGUCUACUUUAAAGAAAGGGACAUGGAGUUUUGGAUUACAGAAUGCCUUGGGUCAAGUGCAGGAAUUUAAGGGAGGAUACACAUAGCUCCCAAACAUACAACUACUUCAUUCAAAAUAAUGUCAGUUCAUGAUGUGGUGAGAGACGCUCUCACUAACCCGAGUGAUAAACAUUCACCGGUUUGAUAAUGCAAUCUGCUGAGGAGAUGGUAGAAUAAUAGGAUCUUCAUGCUUUUCUAAGGAGGCACACAGCAGUAUAACCGUUUGGAAGGGAGACCUAGAAAUGUUUAACAGAAUCACAGAUGUGUUUAUCUCUUGACCUAGCAACUCCAUUUCUGAGGCUCUGACCUAUAAAAACACUUGCACAAGAAUGAAAUGACUUGUAUAGAAGGUUAUGCAGCUGUGUUGUUCUCAGUUAUUCAACCACUUCCAAGCUGGGCAGCUUGUCAAUAACAGGAAAUGCUUAUUAAAGGUCUACCACUUUUCUUCUCUGAGUCAGGAAGGGAUUUAAGGGUAGUGAGAUGAUUACUCCUCUCUUCAUGACAUCCCUCUGACCUCCAAAGGUGGUUCAUUUAUUAGAGGGCGCAAAGGCAGCAUCCUUGUACCUGUGCUAUAGCAUUUACCAUCAUCAGCAAGUAGUAGACUAGGAGAGGGAUGCAGCAACAGCUCCAGAGAUGUGUUGAAGGAGCUGUUCAACAGAGAUCUAUGGGGAGCAAGCAGAAAGGCAGGGGGGUAAUAUUAAGAGAUAGAGCACAUGUGAACUGUACUUCUUUAGUUGAUUCUCAGGUCUAGAGUUGCAACCUGCCUGCAGUUUACCACAGCUGGGGAUUCUUCUCACAAUUUACAGCACAAAGAAAUGUUUUUUCUAUUGGUAAUACUAAGAUAUUGGCCUCCUGGAUGUUAGUGAUGUUAUAAUGAGGCUUGAGGGGAGGGUGUGGAGGUGAAAGCUGUUUAAUAAUAGAUUAGAGCCACUUUCCUUAAUGAAAAAUCAACAGGCCUUGAAAAGCCUGUGAAGAAGCGAAAGGGAUUCCAGAUGAGGCCAGAUGAUGAAGCUGGGUGUCAGACAGACCUGUGGCCACCUGCAGCGUGGGCCGAGAAGGAACGUUUGUUUCUCUGCUUUUCUCCGUAGUUGUCAAGACACGGCUUGGCUUCUCUCUACAUUCUAUGACAACCUAUGUGGUAGUAAGCACAUAUUUGGGGAAGGAAAUUUUCAAGCUAAGAGACAGACAGACAGAUAUAUAGAUGAUGAAUGAUUGAUUGAUAGAUAGAUAGAUAGAUAGGAUACAUAGAUGAUAUAGAUAUAAAUCCCACUACCAAGAACUGUUUAUUCUCCUCUCCUAUACAUAACUUCAUAGUUAAUGACUAAAAGUUACAGUUGAUAAAAGAGUAGAGUAGACAUCUAAUGCUAAAACAUGGACUUGAGACAUCCACCUCUUGGAGAAGGCAGAGGCCAAGGUGUGGCCUUUCCUCCAGAGGGCUUUAUACCCUCCCUACUUUUAAUACCCUCCCUGGUUUCUCACCUACAGCUCAGAGAAACCACAAAGACUUGGAAAGCUGUCAUUGAAUAAAACUGUAUCUGUAACUAGAAAUAGGUACCAGAGCACCUAUAUCUAACAGGCUUAAAUUUUAAUAUUUUCAUAACUUGAAUUAUGUUAACUUAAAGCAAUGCUCCACAGGCUCUUACAGCAGCCAGAUUGUUUGAAGGGGGCGGGGGGUGGGAACCACGUUUGUCCAAUUAAAAUACUUUUCAAAAGUGCUGAGUAGGCCAAAUCUUGGAAACUUAAGUCCUAAAUAUACAUGGAAGUUACCUUAAAAGGUCAUUUGACUCAUUCUCUGCUCAUAGCCAAAAUUAUAUCCAGAGCUUUGGAGAACAAAAUGUGUGCUAUAUUCUUUAUAAUCUCUAGGAAAUUAAAUUCCACACCCAUUUUUGGUAAUGAGCUCCGAUGACUCACGGGCUUCUUGGAAUUCCCAAAGACUAUAGAAAGGGAACGCAACCGUCCCCUGGCUGUGUCACAGAAGGAACCCCAUUCCUGGUGGACAGAGGCACCUGGGAAAGCAUGGCAGUGCCCGUUGAGAUCCUGGAACAUGAGACCCCCGUAUCCAUCAGUAGAUUACUUCAGGCGAGCUCUGCGGAAUGUUGUUGCCUUCAGCUUCACUGACUUUAAUUUGUUAAGGAGUGUCCUUGGGUUGUAGUGUUCAUGCUGUGCACUGGUAACCAACCCCAGCACAUCUACAGCUUUCUUCCCUGAGAUGUCCUUAUAAGAGUUUACAAAAC
rnacentral:lncRNA from 1 species